rnacentral:rRNA from 1 species
CUGCAGCCCGAGUGGUGACCGAUAUUAUUGAGCCUAAAGCGUCCGUAGCCGGUCUGGUAAAUUCUUGGGUAAAUCGGGCAGCUUAACUGCCCGACUUCCGAGGAGACUGCCAGACUUGGGACCGGGAGGGGUCAGAGGUACUCCAGGGGUAGGGGCUAAAUCCUGUAAUCCUUGGGGGACCACCAGUGGCGAAGGCGUCUGACUAGAACGGAUCCGACGGUAAGGGACGAAACCCUGGGGCGCAAACCGGAUUAGAUACCCGAGUAGUCC